CGCUGGCGGCGUGGAUAAGACAUGCAAGUCGAACGCUAGAUUGUGUGUAGCAAUACUCGCAGUCUGGAGUGGCGUAAGGGUGCGUAACACGUGGGUAAUUUGCCUGGAAGCCCGGGAUAACUCCGAGAAAUCGGAGCUAAUACCGGAUGUGAUCAGGGGCUGGCAUCAGCUUCUGCUCAAAGUCGGGGACCGAAAGGCCUGACACUACCAGAUAAGCCCGCGGCCUAUCAGCUAGUUGGCGGGGUAACGGCCCACCAAGGCUAAGACGGGUAGCUGGUCUGAGAGGACGACCAGCCACACUGGAACUGAGACACGGUCCAGACACCUACGGGUGGCAGCAGUCGAGAAUUUUUCACAAUGGGGGAAACCCUGAUGGAGCGACNCCGCGUGGGGGAUGAAUGGCUUCGGCCCGUAAACCCCUGUCUUUUGCGAACAAACCUGGAUGGCUGA
rnacentral:rRNA from 1 species